GGGGUUGUGGCUCAGUGGUAGAGUGCUCACCUAGAUGGGAGAGGCCUUGGGUUCAAUCCUCAGCACCACA
rnacentral:tRNA from 1 species